UGACAAACCACGCAUCUUGAAGUUGCAUACUUAAAACAACAAAUCUGCACACCUACCUCGCAUGGGAUUCUGAAUCCAGAGAAUGCCCCCUAUCAGUGGUGAAGAUGACAGGAACCAAGUUGAACACCAUUUCUAUCCUGGGUGCAGAGGUCAAGGUGCGAUGGAUUACUACUCGUUCUCUCCGCCCGUGGGCAGAGGCACUGGCACCGCCUAUGCCAUCUCUGGAGACGGACGUAGUUAGAUUACAAGUUACUUUAACCACAGUCCGAGUGUGGGAGCAGACCAAUAACCAGAUCACUGGGUAAAGACUUCAAAGGUGAAUUUGUCUUGACAUGAACCAAUCUGAAUAUUGCCAUAAAGUGACCAAAGCUGCAGCUCCAAACAAUUUAGCUACCUUGUCUAGGGUUUAAUGUUUAUAGCUA